rnacentral:rRNA from 1 species
UACGUAGGGGGCUAGCGUUGUCCGGAAUCAUUGGGCGUAAAGCGCGUGUAGGCGGUCCGGUAAGUCCGCUGUGAAAGUCGGGGGCUCAACCCUCGGAUGCCGGUGGAUACUGUCGGGCUUGAGUACGGAAGAGGCGAGUGGAAUUCCUGGUGUAGCGGUGAAAUGCGCAGAUAUCAGGAGGAACACCGGUGGCGAAGGCGGGUCUCUGGGCCGAUACUGACGCUGAGGAGCGAAAGCGUGGGGAGCAAACAGG